GAUGAACGCUAGCUACAGGCUUAACACAUGCAAGUCGAGGGGUAACGAGAGGAAAGCUUGCUUUCCUUGUCGACGACCGGCGCACGGGUGAGUAACACGUAUCCAACCUGCCGUUUACUCGGGGAUAGCCUUUCGAAAGAAAGAUUAAUACCCGAUGGUAUAUAUUGAUUUCAUGGUCUUUAUAUUAAAGAAUUUCGGUAAACGAUGGGGAUGCGUUCCAUUAGGCAGUUGGCGGGGUAACGGCCCACCAAACCUACGAUGGAUAGGGGUUCUGAGAGGAAGGUCCCCCACAUUGGAACUGAGACACGGUCCAAACUCCUACGGGAGGCAGCAGUGAGGAAUAUUGGUCAAUGGGCGUAGGCCUGAACCAGCCAAGUAGCGUGAAGGAUGACUGCCCUAUGGGUUGUAAACUUCUUUUAUAAGGGAAUAAAGUGGAGUAUGUAUACUCUUUUGUAUGUACCUUAUGAAUAAGGAUCGGCUAACUCCGUGCCAGCCGCCGCCGUAA
rnacentral:rRNA from 1 species